rnacentral:lncRNA from 1 species
GCGCUAAUCCUUCGCAUCUACUACCAAAACAAACAUGGCGGAGGCUGCGCGCGCCCGCGAGCAGUGAUACGGGUAAGUUUUGCCAAUUGUAAAUGUAUUUCUCGAUAAGACGAAGCGCCAAAAAAUUUCUUACGCUCAGCUACACAUCCUCCUGACUGUGUAGACUCAAAAAAACAUUGUUAUCUCGGAAUAGUUUGUUCCUGGCGACGGAACGUUGCUAUGUUGCGCAAAUGCAACAACGUGUACAUGAUUUUUU